UACGUAGGGAGCGAGCGUUGUCCGGAUUUAUUGGGCGUAAAGAGCGCGUAGGCGGCUUAGUAAGCCGGAUGUGAAACCCCCAAGCUCAACUUGAGGCGGCCAUUCGGAACUGCUAUGGCUAGAGUCUGGUAGGGGAACACGGAAUACCUGGUGUAGCGGUGAAAUGCGCAGAUAUCAGGAGGAACACCGGUGGCGAAGGCGGGAUCCUGGGCCAGUACUGACGCUGAGGAGCGAAAGCGUGGGGAGCAAACAGG
rnacentral:rRNA from 1 species